rnacentral:snoRNA from 1 species
ACGGGCAUAUUUGAUCUUUAGUCCCGGUUUGUGUUACCAACCGGGACUAAAGAUCAUCUUUAGUACCNGUUCGAAUGCUGUCAGGGCCUGUCAGGCCCCCCCGGGAUCUUUAGUCCCGGUUGGUAACACCAACCGGGACUAAAGUUACGAUCUUUAGUCCCGGUUGGUGUUACCAACCGGGACUAAAGAUCCCGGGGGGGCCUGACAGGCC